GGGCCCGUAGCUCAGAUUGGAUAGAGCGCAUGCCUCCGGAGCAUGAGGUCGCGGGUUCAAAUCCCGUCGGGCCCGCCA
rnacentral:tRNA from 1 species